rnacentral:misc_RNA from 1 species
AUUCUUUUUCCCAGAAUCAGAAGUAGUCAGAGUAACAUCCUUGAAGAACUUGAGAUCAGAAGGUAACCUCCAUGGUAGCUUGCCAUCCUUUCCGAUACCCAUAUCCCUAGUUGCAGCCACAACAACUUGAUAAGUUCUUUGGUGGAGCAGGCUGUAUAUUGGCAUUACCAUUGGAAAGGUUUGCCUUGGAUUCACCAGCCAUGAUUGAAAAGAAAGCCUGGCAGAAACUUCUUGAUGAUGCCACAGAACUAACACUGCACACCCAACUUUUGUGGAAGUGCAGUAGAAGCGAUCUGAGACUAAAUCGAGAAAUAUUGAAAUCAGAAAACGUCCAAAAUCAGUUUGAAGACGAUCUGGGCAAGUGUGGAGCAAUCUUCACCUCGUAAAAUUAGGGUUUGGGUGAUAAAAAAGAGAGAGGAUUGUGAGAUAAGAGUAAAGUAG